rnacentral:rRNA from 1 species
GACGAACGCUGGCGGCGUGCUUAACACAUGCAAGUCGAACGGAAAGGCCUUUUCGGAGGUACUCGAGUGGCGAACGGGUGAGUAACACGUGGGUGAUCUGCCCUGCACUCUGGGAUAAGCCUGGGAAACUGGGUCUAAUACCGGAUAGGACCGCACUUUUGUGUGUGUGGUGGAAAGUUUUUUCGGUGUAGGAUGAGCCCGCUGCCUAUCAGCUUGUUGGUGGGGUAAUGGGCUACCAAGGCGGCGGCGGGUAGCCGGACUGAGAGGGUGGUCGGCCACAUUGGGAAUGAGAUGCGGCACAGACACGUACGGGGGGGAGCAGUGGGGAAUAGUGCACAAUGGGCGCAAGCCUGAUGCAGCGACGCCGCGUGGGGGAGGACGGCCUUCGGGUUGGAAAAUACUUUCGACAGGGACGAAGCGUUUUGUGACGGUACCUGGAGAAGAAGCACCGGCUAACUACGUG